AAAUUUCACUCUAAAGGAUCCUUGGUGCAUUGAUGCAAAUUUAAAGCCGUAUGGGCUUGCAAUCUAUCAGCCACGUGGUCUCACGAAAGACAACUGGCAGCAUCGAUGGUGUGCUACGUAAACGACUCAUUCUCAUCAGUCGAACGAAGAAUAAAUGUAGAGAACUGCACGUCCACCGCCAUCCACUAUACUCAAGGCCAUCCACCAUGUAGCAAACAAAAUAAUUGGUUUAUUUGUUUGCUGUUGUUGUUUUUUUGGAGGCCUACAGCUUAUCAGUAAGGGGAGAGCUCAAGAAUGGAGUAAAUAGUUUGUUAAUUGAUGCUUCUGAGGGUGAUGAUGCAUUGAAGGCUUCAAAACACACAAAAAGGUCUGAGAACCAGAAUGGAAAUCAGCCGAUUAGAUCAAGACAACCAACAAUUAAUGGCCAUAGGGUCAGGGAUGCGGAUGCCACAAUUCCUGCCAGAAGAGAUUCCUCCUGUUAGGCUACCACUAAGAUUGUAAAGGAGGCAAAGGAUCUUAAACACUCGGCUGAUCGCCUUAAGAAUUCUGGAUUAAUUGUUGAAAGUACAGGUCUUUACUUCCAGGCAGCCCUUAAGUUUCUUCAUGGAGCCUCUUUAUUGGAAUCUAGCAAUGGCGAGAGUGCCAAGCAAGGCGAGAUGAUUCGGUCAAUGCAAAUGUGUAGUAGCACAGCAAAACUCUGUGAGUUUUGUGCUCAUGAAUAUGAGAAAUCCAAGGACAUUGCUGCUGCUGCUCUGGCCUACAAAUGCAUGGAGGUGGCGUAUAUGAGAGUAAUUUAUUACUCGCAUACCAAUGCAAGCAGAGAUCGGCAUGAGUUGCAGACAGCUUUGCAAAUAGUUCCUCCUGGUAAUUAGAAUAAAUUUUUAUCGGAAAAUCUGUUCAAUAUGUCAGUAUUUGGGCAGAGAAAUAUGGCAUUGGAUGAACAUUUUUUUUUUAAUUCUUUAUUCAUCUCACAUGAAAGUUUCACUACUUUUUGUUUGUCCAAAUUCAUCUCCUAAGAAUAGGACCAAACUUGAGAAUAAUGGUUAUAUUGUGGAAAAUCCUUCUGAAAUUACGCAUAAGAUCGUUGCACUUGAUGAGACAUUCAUGGAUACCAUUUUGGUUCAAAAAUAUUUUAUGUCAACUUAUUGCCUCGAUUUUGGACUCAGUAAAUCAUUUUAAAAAAUUAACAGAGAGAACAUAUCAUUUUCUGUAUUCCAAUUUUUUUACUGUUGGUGCCAUUAAUUAGGUGCAUCCUUACUCCAACCCACUACUAGUAAAAGACUCCGCAUCCAUUAUGACUCCAUUGACCCCUGCAUUGUUCACCUGCCAAGAAUUUACAUCCAUACAUGCUAGUGAACAAAUUACCCAUUAGAUAGCUAUAGAUAAAAUUAGUUUCAAUCAAUUUAGUUUGUUUCCAAUCUUACCAAUAUGUUGAACUUUCCGAAUUUAUUUUUGAUGUAAUCUACUAAAGAAGCAAUACUAGCAGAGUCUGUAACUGUUCCCUCCAUUUCUGAAUGUAAUAGAUGAUAGUGGUGAUGAGGAUGAGCUGUGUAUAGAUAAUUUUGAAGUUGGAGAUAUCUAUUUAUAUAAACAUAAGACUAAGAUGCCACUGGUGUUGUCAAAUAUAGUGUUGUCGAAUAUCCUCUUCUAGGAGUGCUUCAUUUAGCAUUUGCUUCAGAUCUUGAGUUUACUUGAUUUUCCUGUAAUGUUUGUUGUUACCUAGCUGACUUUUUAAGCAGAUAUUUGUGUUAUCUGUUGUGUUCCCUGAGAAGAUGCCACUGGUGUUGCUGAAUAUCAGAAAACUUCUUAAGAUUGCUUUUGCAUGAGCUAUUGUGGAUUUUUAUUUUUGUAUACGAAGAGCAUUUAUUCUGUAUAUGGAAGACAUCUAUUUUUGUACAAUUCUUUGUUUUGGAAAUAGAGUGUUUUUGUAUGUAAUAUUUAAUUUAGAUGGAUUAUACUUGGUUAGAAUGGAUUUAUAUGAUACUUGCAAUAAGGUGUUACAAGUUAAA